rnacentral:tRNA from 1 species
GAGCAUGGGGCUCAGGUGGUAGAGCAUGGAGCUUGCAACGCCAGCGUUGUGGGUUUGAUUCCUGCUGGGCCCA